rnacentral:lncRNA from 1 species
GUGCAUGAUUGCGAUUUCACUUUAAUGUGUUGGUGGCUCAGAAAUUAGCACUUGAGGAAUGCCUGUGAACACACACACACACCUGUAUCAAUCUGCUAAUAUAUAUUUAUGUAAAUAUGUAAAUAUAUAUCCAUUUAUAAUAUGCGAAUGCGAACGGAUCGAGGCCAGGAGGCGACUGCGGAAUGGGGUUAGGGUGCGGAACGAUGAC